UACGGAGGGGACUAGCGUUGUUCGGAAUUACUGGGCGUAAAGCGCACGUAGGCGGAUUUGUAAGUCAGGGGUGAAAUCCCGGGGCUCAACCUCGGAACUGCCUUUGAUACUGCAAAUCUCGAGUCCGGAAGAGGUGAGUGGAAUUCCUAGUGUAGAGGUGAAAUUCGUAGAUAUUAGGAAGAACAUCAGUGGCGAAGGCGGUCUGCUGGGCCGUUGCUGACGCUGAGGCGCGACAGCGUGGGGAGCGAUCCGG
rnacentral:rRNA from 1 species